GAUGAACGCUGGCGGCGUGCCUAAUACAUGCAAGUCGAGCGAAGCGGGGACGGGUGAGUAACACGUGGAUAACCUCCUAUAAGACUGGGAUAACUCCGGGAAACAGGAGUUAUACACGAUACUUAUCGUUUGAUCCGCGCUGCAUUAGCUAGUUGGUAAGGUAACGGCUUACCAAGGCAACGAUGCAUAGCGGGCUUGCGAGGGUGAUCGGCAACAUUGGAACGGAGACACGGCCAAGACUCCUACGGGAGGCAGCAUGAGGGAAUUUUCGGCAAUGGGCGAAAUCCUGAGGGAGAAACCCCGCGGGAGUGAUGAAGGCCUUCGGUUCGUAAAAUUCUUUGAUUAGGGAAGCGGUACCUAAUCAGAAAGCCACGGCUAACUACGUGCCAGCAGCCGCGGUAAUUC
rnacentral:rRNA from 1 species